AUUGAACGCUGGCGGCGUGCUUUACACAUGCAAGUCGAACGGUAACAGGCCGCAAGGUGCUGACGAGUGGCGAACGGGUGAGUAAUGCAUCGGAACGUGCCCAGUCGUGGGGGAUAACGCAGCGAAAGCUGUGCUAAUACCGCAUACGAUCUAUGGAUGAAAGCGGGGGACCGUAAGGCCUCGCGCGAUUGGAGCGGCCGAUGUCAGAUUAGGUAGUUGGUGGGGUAAAGGCUCACCAAGCCAACGAUCUGUAGCUGGUCUGAGAGGACGACCAGCCACACUGGGACUGGGACACGGCCCAGACUCCGACGGGAGGCAGCAGUGGGGAAUUUUGGACAAUGGGCGCAAGCCUGAUCCAGCAAUGCCGCGUGCAGGAAGAAGGCCUUCGGGUUGUAAACUGCUUUUGUACGGAACGAAACGGUCUGGGUUAAUACCCUGGGCUAAUGACGGUACCGUAAGAAUAAGCACCGGCUAACUACGUGCCAGCCGCCGCCGUAACAC
rnacentral:rRNA from 1 species